AGCGGAAGGGGGCGUGGCAGGCCCAAAAAAGCUCCAUCGCUACUGUAAAAAGUUUAUAAGCUCGCAAAUUCAAGCAAAGAUCGAUAACAUAGAGUAAACUAUACAAACACCAGAUGCAGAUCAGAAAGCUAACACUGGGUCUCAAUGGAGGGACAUAUGAGGUGUGUCUAGAGUCUCAAAAAAGCUAGACCUAACAAUACCUCCAUCAUCUAUUAUUCGUCCCCAAUUAGUGAACGCACCAAAUGAACAAAUAGAGAAUGCAGCGGUAAGUAAUGG
rnacentral:lncRNA from 1 species